UACGAAGGGUGCAAGCGUUAUUCGGAAUCAUUGGGCGUAAAGCGCGCGCAGGCGGAUUGAUAAGUCAGGUGUGAAAUCUCGAGGCUCAACCUCGAAACUGCGCCUGAAACUAUUAGUCUAGAGUGUCGGAGGGGGUAGGGGAAUUUCACGUGUAGGGGUAAAAUCCGUAGAGAUGUGAAGGAACACCGGAGGCGAAGGCGCCUACCUGGACGACUACUGACGCUGAGACACGAAAGCGUGGGGAGCAAACAGG
rnacentral:rRNA from 1 species